rnacentral:rRNA from 1 species
CCUACGGGGGGCAGCAGUGAGGAAUAUUGGUCAAUGGCCGGAAGGCUGAACCAGCCAAGCCGCGUGAAGGACGAAGGUGCCAAGCAUUGUAAACUUCUUUUGUCAAGGGACAAAAUCAGGCUCGAGAGCCUGACCGAGGGUACUUGAAGAAAAAGCAUCGGCUGACUCCGUGCCAGCAGCCGCGGUAAUACGGAGGAUGCGAGCGUUAUCCGGAUUUAUUGGGUUUAAAGGGUGCGUAGGCGGGCUGUUAAGUCAGCGGUAAAAGCCCGGGGCUCAACCCCGGCGAGCCGUUGAAACUGGCCGUCUUGAGAUGUCGAGAGGUAAGGGGAAGGAGCAGGGGAGCGGGGAAAUGCGUAGAAAUUGCGGAGAACUCCGAUUGGGAAGGCAGCAGACCGGCGGCGAUUCGACGCUGAGGCACGAAAGCGUGGGUAUCGAACAGGAUUAGAUACCCCUGUAGUC